rnacentral:SRP_RNA from 1 species
GCCAGGUGUGAUGGCUCACACCUGCAAUCCCAGCACUUUGGGAGGCCGAGGUGGGUGGAUCACUUGAGGCCAGGAGUUCGAGACUAGCCUGUCCAACAUAGUGAAACCCCACCUCUA